UUAGAAUAAGACUAAAUUUAAGGACUUUUCUGAAGGUCUUUAACAACAUUCUCCUUUUCAAGGAAAGAGGGAAACAAGGAAGGAAAGAAGGAAACAAGCAUAUAUUAGUACCUACUACGUGGUCAGUCCUCAGCAAGCACUUUAUAAUGUUAUUUCAGUUGAUCCUUACAACAGCUCUGGAACUUGGAAGAACUAUUCCAGGAGGAAUUAGUCACCAUGUAAGCUGUCCUUUCAAUUUAUCAUUAUAUGUGCAGUAGAUAAAUUUCAUAUGACAUCAUAAUAUAUCACUUCUACUAGUGAACCUAUAUGUGAUUCAUCAGGGAAUUCCCUUUGAAGUUGCUACAUUGUCUACAUGUUCAUGAGCAUCAGGAGC
rnacentral:lncRNA from 1 species